AGGAUCCUAGAGGGCCUCUUCUGGCGGAAAUUUGAAGGAGAACAAAAGUGGCCCUAACCACAGCACUUCCCCCUGCAAAUAAUCCAAGGAUAGAGCUGAUCUUCCUAAUUUCUCUCCUCAUUAUGAAUUUUAGAGCCUCACCCUCAGCUCCUCCAGAUGGAUUAUUGGUGAUGUUACCUCCCCUCCUCCAACAAUUUCUUUCUUCUAAUUCCGUUUCUCUGUCUGCUUCUCAGAGAACCUAACGGACCUGCAGAAAGAGGAAGCCAGCUGCCAUAUCCUGAGGACACAGGAAACAGUGGAGAGUCCCAUGUGGUGAGGAAAAAAGGCUCUCUGCCAACAGCCAUGUGAAUGCAUUAUCUAGACUUCAACCCUAAGCAACAAGUUUAUUGCAAUCUCUUGAGGGACUCUUAGAACCAGGUGCUUUUGCUUUUCUAAACAUAAGCUGAUGCAAGAUAAUAAAUGUUUGUUGUUUUAAGAUGCCAAAUAUUGGAGGACUUUGUUACAUAGCAAUAGAUUACCCCUAUAGUUGUAAAUCACCAUCUAAAAGUAGCCACUAUUGAAGAAGCACUAGACAGACAAAAUGUCAACCCACUUGUCAUCAAUCAGCCUCUGUCAUCAGCCACUCCAAUGCUAGUAAAAAGACUACAGGAAUAGAGAAGCCAUGGGCACAGAGAUGAAAGCCAUUCAUGGACCCACAACAUGAACCCCCAAUCACCAAGGUUUAUCUACCUAGUUACUGCUGCUCCUGGAAGUCCAAACUGAGAGCAGUGGAAAACAACACAGAAACAUUCUAUGAGGAAACUAACCAGCCAGUUGGUAA